rnacentral:rRNA from 1 species
GACGAACGCUGGCGGCGUGCUUAACACAUGCAAGUCGAACGGAAAGGCCCUGCUUUUGUGGGGUUCUCGAGUGGCGAACGGGUGAGUAACACGUGAGUAACCUGCCCUUGACUUUGGGAUAACUUUAGGAAACUGGGGCUAAUACCGGAUAGGAGCUCCUGCUGCAUGGUGGGGGUUGGAAAGUUUCGGCGGUUGGGGAUGGACUCGCGGCUUAUCAGCUUGUUGGUGGGGUAGUGGCUUACCAAGGGUUUGACGGGUAGCCGGCAUGAGAGGGUGACCGGCCACAUUGGGACUGCGAGACGGCCCAGAAGCCUACGGGAGGCAGCAGUGGGGAAUAUUGCACAAUGGGCGGAAGCCUGAUGCAGCAACGCCGCGUGCGGGAUGCCGGCCUUCGGGUUGUAAACCGCUUUCGCCUGUGACGAAGCGUGAGUGACGGUAAUGGGUAAAGAAGCACCGGCUAACUACGUG